rnacentral:rRNA from 1 species
UACGUAGGGUGCGAGCGUUGUCCGGAAUUACUGGGCAUAAAGAGCUCGUAGGUGGUUUUGUCGCGUUGUCCGUGAAAAACUCACAACUCAAUUGUGGGGCGUGCGGGCGAUACGGGCAGACUGGAGUACUGCAGGGGAGACUGGAAUUCCUGGUGUAGCGGUGGAAUGCGCAGAUAUCAGGAGGAACACCGGUGGCGAAAGGCGGGGUCUCUGGGGCCCGAUACUGACGCUGAGGAGCGAAAAGCGUGGGGGAGCAAAACAGG